rnacentral:rRNA from 1 species
UACGGGGGGAGCAAGCGUUGUUCGAAUUUACUGGGCGUAAAGGGCGCGUAGGCGGUCAGCACAAGUCAGUUGUGAAAUCUCCGGGCUUAACUCGGAAAGGUCAACUGAUACUGUGCGACUAGAGUGCAGAAGGGGCAACUGGAAUUCUCGGUGUAGCGGUGAAAUGCGCAGAGAUCGGGAGGAACACCCGUAGCGAAGGCGGCACUCUGGGCCGGUACUGACGCUGAGGAGCGAAAGCGUGGGGAGCAAACAGG